rnacentral:rRNA from 1 species
AUGGCGUGCGUCGACAUCCAUGGCAUGAGCGUGACGCUCACGUUGGUGGACCAGCUCUCGCUCGCCGGGAAGAAGAGAUCCGCCGACGAGGAUCUCGUCCUCGCCGACGAGUCCGAGGCCCGUGGAUGGUCGUCGGCGGUCUCCGACCGCAGGCUCGCCCUGCGCCGCCGGCGAGGUCCGGCUUCCUCUUCCUGCCGCCGCGGCUGCAUCGUGAUGACGGAGGCGCCGGACUGCCGUGCCGAGGAGGCGGUUCAGCAGGUUGCCGCGGAAGAAGACGAAGGCAUUCUGGAGCGCGAGGCUUUGUCUGUCGAGGAGCUGGUUUACUUCACCAUCUUCUAG